CCUACGGGGGGCAGCAGUGAGGAAUAUUGGUCAAUGGGCGCGAGCCUGAUCCAGCCAAGUAGCGUGAAGGAUGACUGCCCUACGGGUUGUAAACUUCUUUUAUAAAGGAAUAAAGUGAGGCACGUGUGCCUUUUUGUAUGUACUUUAUGAAUAAGGAUCGGCUAACUCCGUGCCAGCAGCCGCGGUAAUACGGAGGAUCCGAGCGUUAUCCGGAUUUAUUGGGUUUAAAGGGAGCGUAGAUGGGUUGUUAAGUCAGUUGUGAAAGUUUGCGGCUCAACCGUAAAAUUGCAAUUGAUACUGGCAGUCUUGAGUACAGUUGAGGUAGGCGGAAUUCGUGGUGUAGCGGUGAAAUGCUUAGAUAUCACGAAGAACUCCGAUUGCGAAGGCAGCUUACUAAACUGCCACUGACAUUGAUGCUCGAAAGUGUGGGUAUCAAACAGGAUUAGAUACCCCAGUAGAC
rnacentral:rRNA from 1 species